GACGAACGCUGGCGGCGUGCUUAACACAUGCAAGUCGAACGGUAAGGCCCUUCGGGGUACACGAGUGGCGAACGGGUGAGUAACACGUGGGUGAUCUGCCCUGCACUUCGGGAUAAGCCUGGGAAACUGGGUCUAAUACCGGAUAGGACCCUGGGAUGCAUGUCCUGGGGUGGAAAGCUUUUGCGGUGUGGGAUGGGCCCGCGGCCUAGCAGCUUGUUGGUGGGGUGAUGGCCUACCAAGGCGACGACGGGUAGCCGGCCGGAGAGGGUGACCGGCCACACUGGGACUGGGAUACGGCCCAGACUCCUACGGGAGGCAGCCGUGGGGAAGAUUGCCCAAUGGGCGGAAGCCUGAUGCAGCGACGCCGCGUGAGGGAUGACGGCCUUCGGGUUGUAAACCUCUUUCAGCACCGACGAAGCGCAAGUGACGGUAGGUGCAGAAGAAGGACCGGCCAACUACGUGCCAGCCGCCGCGGUAA
rnacentral:rRNA from 1 species